AGAAAAUUCAUGGAAUUUCAUAUUCUUAAACACAUUCUGUGUACUUGUUCCUGUUGCUUUCAUGGGCAGUAGGCCUCGUGCCUGCGCUCGCCAUCUCGGUGAACCCAUGGGAGAUAUUCAUAAAUCCAAUCUUAUAUGGCACAGGUCUGAGAUUGUUCAAUUAAUCAGAAUUA
rnacentral:misc_RNA from 1 species